CUCUAAGGAUCUCGGCAAAAUAGCCCCGUAACUUCAGGAGAAGGGGUGCCUCCUCACAAAAGGGGUCGCAGUGACAAGGCCCGGGCGACUGUUUACUAAAAACACGGUCUCCACAAAGUCAUAAAACCAUGUAUUGGGGCUGACGCCUGCACAGUGCUGGAAGGUCAAGGAAGUUGGUGACCUGAUGACAGGGGAGUCGACGACGAUUGCUUGUUGACCCCUGUGAAUUGCAUGAAAGUAGGGUACUCCAAAUUCGGGGGUCAAAGAG
rnacentral:rRNA from 1 species